rnacentral:lncRNA from 1 species
AUAUAUACAAGGUAACUUUAAAACCAUUAUCUUCUUGUUUACCACAAUAAAACCUUUAUAAACCUUAAAUAAAACUAAAAUGUUUUUAUUGUGCUACUUGGGCAGUCUCGGUAACACUUUUGAACAGCUGCUCAGUACUGAAUUUGGACGGUAUUCUUUCAAAAAUAACGACACUUCAAACACUUUAACUCGCUAAAUAAUAAUUCGAAUAAUAUGAAAUUUUGACAGUAUCUUUUUGAAGGUUAGCACUGCCGAAAAUUCAAGUGGAAAAUUCAUUAGAGUCGCCAUCUCAUGGUUACCCAGGCAACCAAGUGACGUCAACAACGUCGAGGAAACGUCAGUAUUUGGUGGAAUAUAUACACGUAGUUGAACAUUACGUCAUAUCGACGUCUUUUGUAGGUGAUUUUAAAUACGUAAGAUUAAUGACGUUAAAAUACGUUUAAAAGACGUUUUCAUUUCAGCCAGCCUAAGUCUGACGUCACAAAAUUGGGAGGAGCUUGGAGCUUAAAAGUUACAAAACUAGGGUUAUGUUUGUAUCAUUGUUGUCGUUUGUCGUUUCAUUUCAUUGUUUGUUUGUCCUAGUAUUUUGCCUUUUUUGGAUUCAUUUGGAUUUUGUUGGCUGUUUUGUGUGUAUUUUUUAAUACUUCUGUUUGUCAUUUGUAAAUUUAAUUUACCACAAUGCAAAGUGAUUAUUUAAGGAAAUUAUUAAUGGAAACUCCGCAGAUGUUUUAGAAAGGUAGGCGAAACAAUUUUUUAUUUACUAUUCAUUUUUCCCUGAUAUUUAUCAAUAAUGAUGAAUUUUGCAAGCAAUAACAUUAUUUCUUUUCUUGUUUUAGAUAUUCAUUGAAGCUGAAAAUAAUUGGAGAUUUAGAUCCAUAUACAUACAAUUCAGUCAUCAGAAUUGGAUUUUACAGUGCAUUCCAUCAAUUACUGUUAUAAUGCUAUUAUAGAUAGACUGGUAGAGUCUCACAGUUACUGCUUUAAGCAGCAGAUGAAAGCAUACAAAAGCCUUCAGGCACAUAAAAGCCUUCACAACUGGAUUUGUUUUGAAACAUUGAUGUUUUGAUGAUUUCUAUAUUAUUGUUGGAAAGGUGAAGCAUUCCCAACAAGCUAAUGCUAAACCGCUAGAUGCUUCGGUGAAUAGCCAGUUCCAAUGGCAUAGCAAAUGCACAUUGUAUGUGUAUGGCCAGUAAUAGUGAAAUUUGCAGCCAUAUUGCAGCAAUCUUAUUUGCAGCUGAGUAUGCCCACAGCAAGACAGAAGAAGAAGAACCCAAUGCAUUUACAGAUGUUACAGCUAUGUACAUUCUCUGGUGAAAAACUAAUGAGUUUUCAAGCUGUUCGGUCAGAGUGCUUGUUGCGCUCUCUAAACGAACUGAAAUAUAAGACGGCUUAGGCUUCAUGUUGCAGUGAUAUGAAAAUGGUUAGUCAUUUUUAAUUAUAAUGUACUUCUUCAUCAUGAGUAUUUAUGUAUAGGGCUUUUCAUUCACAGUCAUUUGUUUCGAGCUUCUGUCAUGUGUCACAUAAUAUUAAUAUUAUAUCUACGUCAUACGUUAUUGGUAUAUAUCAAUGAUACACACCAAAGACAUAUGGCAUAGUUAUAUUAAUAUUAUGUGACACAUGACAGAUGCUCGAAACAAAUGACAGUCGAUAAAAAGCCCUAUUAGUCUUUUAAGUGUGUAUUAUCAGAUAUCACAUGUAAAUUGUUUUUAUCAUGUUAAUUUGGUCAUUACAGUCCCUUAAUCAAGAAAUAUAUUUUUCAGGUGUCUGUGGAUCUUUUUGUAUGCAAAAAUUUGUAAUAAUUAUUUGAAAUCAUUUUGAGGAUUAUUAGAGUAUGGAAAUAUAUGUGAGAACACAUACUAUUAUAGUUUUGUCCUAUUUUUUAUCAUUCAAUAGUCUUCUUAAAAUUUAUAAAUAUAAAGCAGAUAGUUUUCAUUGAAAUUCAAUAUAUUGGGUCUUAUUUGUAUGUAUUCAUUUUUGACUAAAGGUACGAUUCCGAUAACGACUGCAGACAGCAACUGCAAACAUCAGUUGCAGUUCUCGGCGUUAUGGACGUUACUACUUUGCACUAUUUAUCUGUAUGAGACUUAUUCCGACAUCUGACUGCAACUGCUGUCUGGCAGAACGUCAGUUGCUAAUAAUUAUGCAAAUUAUUAGUGCAAAAUAAUGACGUCUGUCAUGGUGACAACUGUAACUGCCAUCUGCAGUCGUUGUCGGAAUCGUACCUUUAAAGUGUGUGGUAUAAUUAUAAUAAUUAUAUAUAUUAUAUAACUUAAAUGGUUUAAACUUAAGUUUGUUAUUACAUUGUGACUUAAAUGUUUAAUUUGUUAAUAAAUGAUUUAUUAGUUUA